AGUAGAAUUGCUGGAUCAUGUGGUAACUCUGUAGUGUAUUUUUUUCAGAAACUGCCAAACAGUUUUACAAGUGGAAGAACCAUUUUACAUUUCCAUAAGCAGU
rnacentral:pre_miRNA from 1 species